GAUGAACGCUGGCGGCGUGCCUAAUACAUGCAAGUCGAGCGAACAGAUAAGGAGCUUGCUCCUUUGACGUUAGCGGCGGACGGGUGAGUAACACGUGGGUAACCUACCUAUAAGACUGGGAUAACUUCGGGAAACCGGAGCUAAUACCGGAUAACAUUUGGAACCGCAUGGUUCUAAAGUGAAAGAUGGUUUUGCUAUCACUUAUAGAUGGACCCGCGCCGUAUUAGCUAGUUGGUAAGGUAACGGCUUACCAAGGCAACGAUACGUAGCCGACCUGAGAGGGUGAUCGGCCACACUGGAACUGAGACACGGUCCAGACUCCUACGGGAGGCAGCAGUAGGGAAUCUUCCGCAAUGGGCGAAAGCCUGACGGAGCAACGCCGCGUGAGUGAUGAAGGGUUUCGGAUCGUAAAACUCUGUUAUUAGGGAAGAACAAACGUGUAAGUAACUGUGCACGUCUUGACGGUACCUAAUCAGAAAGCCACGGCUAACUACGUG
rnacentral:rRNA from 1 species